rnacentral:lncRNA from 1 species
ACAGCAGGCAUUGCACUCUUGCACCAUAUAUACUGGAGAGACAUUAUUAUAGGCGCUCUCUGUGGGUUGGGUUAGUACUCCUCGCCUUGCCCGGCCGUAUGGAGACCAUCAUGACGAUGAGCUGCCAGGACCUCGUCGGCGGCGGUGGCGCACAAGACUUCCUCGGCUUGUUCGGUGAUCGCCACUCCUCGUCGUACGUGUGCGGCCAGCACCCCACCACUCGUCAUGCAUUUAUCUACGCUAGCCGCGCGUGUUACAACGACUACGUGUUCUAGCUGACAUCAAAUUCUUCUCUUGGCUGAAAGCCUGAAACUGUUGUGCCUUAAUAAUCGCGCAUAGAUCGAUGUUGGAGGAAAAAAAAAUGCAAGAUUACUUGCGCUUAAUUAUAUGAUGACUUGUGCCUUAAUAAUCGCGCGCAGUGAUGAUCUCUUUGAGCUGGUAUGGCG